rnacentral:rRNA from 1 species
CUUGUAGGCGGUCUGUCGCGUCUGCUGUGAAAAUCCGGGGCUCAACCCCGGACUUGCAGUGGGUACGGGCAGACUAGAGUAUGGUAGGGGAGACUGGAAUUCCCGGUGUAGCGGUGAAAUGCGCAGAUAUCAGGAGGAACACCGAUGGCGAAGGCAGGUCUCUGGGCCAUUACUGACGCUGAGAAGCGAAAGCGUGGGGAGCGAACA